rnacentral:rRNA from 1 species
AGUUGAGCGGAGAUAUAUGGAGCUUGCUUUAUAUAACUUAGCAGCGAACGGGUGAGUAACACGUAGAUAAUCUAUCCUAUACUGGGGGAUAGCCCGAUGAAAGUUGGAUUAAUACCGCAUAUAGCUAUAUAGUUGCAUGAUUAUGUAGUGAAAGAUUUAUUGGUAUAGGAGGAGUCUGCGGCACAUUAGCUAGUAGGUGAGGUAAAGGCUUACCUAGGCGACGAUGUGUAGCCGGUCUGAGAGGAUGAACGGCCACAAUGGAACUGAGACACGGUCCAUACUCCUACGGGAGGCAGCAGUGGGGAAUAUUGCACAAUGGGGGAAACCCUGAUGCAGCAACGCCGCGUGAGUGAAGAAGGUUUUCGGAUUGUAAAGCUCUGUUAGCAGGGAAGAGGAAGGACGGUACCUGCAGAGGAAGCCACGGCUAACUACGUGCCAGCAGCCGCGGUAAUACGUAGGUGGCAAGCGUUGUUCGGAAUAACUGGGCGUAAAGGAUGCGUAGGCGGUUAAACAAGUUAUAUGUUAAAUAUAUGGGCUUAACCUGUAGAAAGCAUAUAAAACUGUUUAACUAGAGUGCAGGAGAGGUAAGUGGAAUUCCUAGUGUAGCGGUGAAAUGCGUAGAGAUUAGGAAGAACACCAGUGGCGAAGGCGACUUACUGGACUGUAACUGACGCUGAGGCAUGAGAGCAUGGGGAGCAAACAGGAUUAGAUACCCUGGUAGUCCAUGCUGUAAACGAUGGGUACUAGGUGUGGGUUGUGAAUAACAAUUCGUGCCGUCGCAAACGCAAUAAGUACCCCG